UACGUAGGGGGCUAGCGUUGUCCGGAAUCAUUGGGCGUAAAGAACGUGUAGGCGGCCCGGUAAGUCCGCUGUGAAAGUCGGGGGCUCAACCCUCGAAUGCCGGUGGAUACUGUCGGGCUAGAGUGCGGAAGAGGCGAGUGGAAUUCCUGGUGUAGCGGUGAAAUGCGCAGAUAUCAGGAGGAACACCAAUUGCGAAGGCAGCUCGCUGGGACGUAACUGACGCUGAGACGCGAAAGCGUGGGGAGCAAACAGG
rnacentral:rRNA from 1 species